UCCGGAGGGUGCAAGCGUUAUCCGGAAUCACUGGGUUUAAAGGGUGCGUAGGCUGCUGUAUAAGUCAGGGGUGAAAGUUUGUCGCUUAACGAUAGAAUUGCCUUUGAUACUGUGCGGCUUGAAAGUAGGUGAGGUUGGCGGAAUGUGACAUGUAGCGGUGAAAUGCGUAGAUAUGUCAUAGAACACCGAUUGCGAAGGCAGCUGGCUAACCUAAAUUUGACGCUGAGGCACGAAAGCGUGGGUAGAAAACAGG
rnacentral:rRNA from 1 species